rnacentral:rRNA from 1 species
GACGAACGCUGGCGGCGCGCUUAACACAUGCAAGUCGAACGGAAAGGCCUGCUUUCCCUUGUGGAUUGCGGGUACUCGAGUGGCGAACGGGUGAGUAACACGUGAGUGAUCUGCCCCCAACUUGGGUAUAAGCCUGGGAAACUGGGUCUAAUUCCCGAUAGGACUGCAGGGUGGUGCCUGUGGUGGAAAACGAUUUUCUAGUGGUUGGGGAUGAGUUCGCGGCCUAUGAGCUUGUUGGUGGGGGAAUGGCCUCCCGAGGCGGCGUCGGGUAGCCGGCCUGAGGGGGUGGACGUGGACAUUGGGACUGGGAUACGGCCCCGAGGCCUGCAGGAGGCCGCAGUGGGGAGUGUUGGACGAGGGUCGGAAGCAGGAGGCAGGGGCGCCGGGUGGGGGAUGUCGGCCGUCGGGUUGUAGGCUGCUUUCGAGAGCGGGGAAGCCACCUGGUUGGGAGGGUGGUGACGGUAGUGGUAGAAGAAGCACCGGCUAACUACGUG